AUGUUCAGAGCUACUUAUGCUGAGAACCUCCCAGCUCUAGAAGGCAAGCAACAGUGGGACAUUAUAGAUCCUGGAUUCAAAUUGUGUGCUCCUCUUCAACAUAGAGCUCCAGGCAGACCAAGAAAGCAAAGGAUUAGAAGUAGCACUGAAGGAAAAGGCCUUGGUCCUAGGAAGCACAAGUGCAAAAGGUGUGGGAGAUGUGGACACAAAGCCAAGGGCUGCAAACAAUCUGUUGAUCCAGCCUUUGGAGAAGAUGAACAUUGGGGAGCAGACAAUGCAGAUGAUCAUCGUACAGCCAAUGAACCAGCAGAAGCAGAAAUACAACAGGAGGAGGAGGAGGAUGAGACAACACCUGAUGUUCUUCAGCAGCAGAUGGCACCACCAAAGGAGCCAUCACAUGAUGCAUCUACAGGAGCUAGUUGUGCAGUCAGCCCUAGGAAAAAUUAUAAAAGGGCAGCAGCAAGAGGAGCUUCUCCAAGGUGUGUCAAGCAGAAAACAGUUGUGGAACAGGAGCAAGAAAGCAGUGUUCAAAGAGCAGUAGCAGCAGUUGAACCUCCAAACCCAGCCAAGAACACUAGAAGCAAGGCAAUGCUAGCUCCAAACCAGGCCAAGAACACUAGGAGCAAGAAACUUAAGUUCUAG
rnacentral:rRNA from 1 species